GACUGCUCGAAGGGGUGGGAGGAACAGUAUAAAGUCCUGUCCCCCUCUUGCCUUCAAGGGCACCCCUGAAGGACCAUAUCCACUGUGAUCCCCUUGGGAUCAGCCGAGGUUUGUAGAGGUGACAUCGCAGCCCAGCGCCUCCCUCCGCCCUCCCCUCCUCUGCCCUCCUUCCACAUGUGUGGCCAUGGGCACUGCCCAGUUGACCUGUGACCCCCAGCUGAGGCUGCUUCCUGGGCAGCUGACUUCGAUUUGUGACCUGAGCUCUCCAGGCCCCCGAGCGGCUGGUGCCUUGGCCCUGCAGUUCUGCAGCCGAGACCUCUCCUCUGGGAUCUCGUCUUACCCUGCUGCGGGCACCAGGGCUGCAUGAAGCAAGGGUGAAAGUCCCCUCCGCCCGGGCUCUGCUCUCUGCCUGCUGGCCCCUGUGCUCCUGUUCCCCGUGGCUGCCCAGGGACAGGUGUGUGGGAUGGAGGAGGAGGGAGAGGCUGAGUCCUCCCCAGUGGACCCCCAGAUGCAGACCCUGAGGCAAGGGAGAGUGAGAAAGUGAAGGAAAGAACACAGCUGGAAAUGCAACCAAGAAUGAACCCCAGCCCGGGCCACUGUGAGCAAAGAGAGCCAAGCCCCGGGGAGCCCUGGGACAGUGUGGGAGUGGAGGCCUGGGGCGCCUCCGGGCAAGGCAGCGGGAUGUCUGUGCCGUAAGCCCUGCCAGUCGUGGAUGGAGACGCACAUUUUAGUGUGGGCUCCAGAGACAGAGGGAGCCCCAGGCCGAGAGCUGUGGGUGCUGGGCAGGUGGGCAUUGGCCAGCGUGGCCCCCACUCAGGGCGGGUCCACCUUAAUUCGACGGGUGUGACACUCUCCUCACACAUGUGCACAUUCAAGAGGGACUCGAAGGAAUUGGGUCAUGAGACACAGCCGAGCCUGUGAGUGCUGACCUGUGUAAAGAAGAUGCCAGAAUGAGACGUCUCCACACACAGAGAGCUGCAGCCGAUGCCGGCUGGCGACUUGGGACUUGGAUGCUUAACGGGAGGCUCCCCCUCCCUUGGGAGGUAGAGAGCAGUGAGGAAGGGGAAUCAGCCUCCAUGCCUCCCGCCAGCCCAGCUGCGCCCGAAUCACCUCCCUCCUGAAAGGACGUCAGCCUCUGCUUGGACACUGUGGAGACAGGGCCCUCCUUGUGCUUCAGAAGCAUCAACGUGUCAGAAAAUCAUCUUAACGCCAAGUCUGGAAAAAGUGGCUUUGAGGUUGUGCACACAAAGGAAGGACGGAGAGCCCCAGGUGUCGCCGAGGACCGUGUGGCUGACAGAGCCAGCAGGGCGGUGGCGUGUGAGCCGUGCUCUGGAUAUGUAAAGAUCUGAGGCUGCUGGCAAUGUCUGAGCUCUGCGCUCACCCAUCUGUCGGCCGCUAUCAUCACCGGGUGGGAUUAGUGGAGAUUUCUCUAUGAUCCACUCUUUCAUAUUUAAAUCUUCACAAGAGAAUGAAUCACUUUUAUAAUAAAAGAAAAAGACUGUCCAUGUUGUUAAUGUGCACGCAGCAAGUUGGAAGGCCGGGGAGGGCAGCGGGUGGGAACGCUGACCCAGGUGCCCCCCUGCAGCCUGGAACAGCCCCAGGCCUGCUCCACUGUCCCCUCGGGGUUCCCUGUCAAAGAGUCCAAAGAGUGGAGGGGCUGGUGCGUAGAGGGU